AACUUUCAACAACGGAUCUCUUGGUUCUCGCAUCGAUGAAGAACGCAGCAAAAUGCGAUAAGUAUUGUGAAUUGCAGAAUUUUGUGAAUCAUCGAAUUUUUGAACGCACAUUGCACCUUCUGGUAUUCCGGAGGGUAUACCUGUUUGAGCGUCAUUU
rnacentral:rRNA from 2 species